rnacentral:rRNA from 1 species
ACUCCUACGGGAGGCAGCAGUGAGGAAUAUUGGUCAAUGGUCGCAAGACUGAACCAGCCAUGCCGCGUGCAGGAUGAAUGUUCUAUGAAUUGUAAACUGCUUUUCUAAGGGAAGAAACCUAUCNACGUGUNGGUAGUUGCCGGUACCUUNGGAAUAAGCAUCGGCUAACUCCGUGCCAGCAGCCGCGGUAAUACGGAGGAUGCAAGCGUUAUCCGGAUUCAUUGGGUUUAAAGGGUGCGUAGGCGGAUUAAUAAGUCAGUGGUGAAAUCUUGCGGCUCAACCGUAACAUUGCCAUUGAUACUGUUAGUCUUGAAUGCAGUUGAGGUAGGCGGAAUGUGUAAUGUAGCGGUGAAAUGCUUAGAUAUUACACAGAACACCGAUUGCGAAGGCAGCUUGCUAAACUGUGAUUGACGCUGAUGCACGAAAGCGUGGGGAUCAAACAGGAUUAGAUACCCUGGUAGUC